ensembl:miRNA rno-mir-124-3 rno-mir-124-3
UGAGGGCCCCUCUGCGUGUUCACAGCGGACCUUGAUUUAAUGUCUAUACAAUUAAGGCACGCGGUGAAUGCCAAGAGAGGCGCCUCC